CCUACGGGUGGCAGCAGUGGGGAAUAUUGCGCAAUGGGCGAAAGCCUGAAGCAGCGACGCAGCGUGAGGGAUGAAGGUCUUCGGAUCGUAAAACUCUGUCAGCAGGGAAGAACAGUCACUGUGCUAAUCAGCAGUGCAUUUACGGUACCUGCAAAUGAAGCACCGGCUAACUCCGGGCCAGCAGCCGCGGUAAUACGGAGGGUGCGAGCGUUAAUCGGAAUUACUGGGCGUAAAGCGCUCGUAGGCGGUAUGUCAAGUCAAGGGUGAAAUCCCCGCGCUCAACGUGGGAACUGCCUUUGAAACUGGCAAACUGGAGUGUGUGAGAGGAUAGUGGAAUUCCAGGUGUAGGAGUGAAAUCCGUAGAUAUCUGGAGGAACAUCAGUGGCGAAGGCGACUAUCUGGCACAUAACUGACGCUGAGGAGCGAAAGCGUGGGUAGCAAACAGGAUUAGAUACCCCGGUAGUC
rnacentral:rRNA from 1 species